GCCAAAAACAAAAUGGUUAAUGCUGUUAAAAUGGCGAUGGAAUUCGAUGCGCGCAUUCCAAAAGACGAAGCACCAGAGUACACAGAAGGUUACGAAGGCUUUUAUCAUUUAAUCUCCCUAAACGGCGACGUAGAACAAGCCAGAUCCUACUAUAUUAUCCGCGACUUCGAUCACUUGAAAUUUGUGGAAAGAAAAACACAUAUUGCUAGUAUCGCUAAAGAGUUAGAAGAAAAAUACGGCGAAGGAUCGGUAGAAUUAAAACUGAACGAUCAAUAUUACAAUAUGCGCGAAAAAAUCGAACCAGUAAAAGAAAUUGUGGAUAUCGUCAGUGCGGCGAUGAGAAAUCUAGACAUUGAACCGAAAAUCAGUCCAAUUCGUGGCGGAACAGACGGCGCUCAACUUUCCUACAAAGGACUACCAACACCUAAUAUUUUUGGUGGAGGAGAGAACUUCCACGGUAAAUUUGAAUAUGUUGCAUUAGAAAGUAUGGUUAAAGCAACAGAAGUAAUCAUUGAAGUGGCUCGUUUGUUUGAAGAAAAAGAAUAAUAAAAAAGUGAGUCUAGUUCAUCCUAGACUCACUUUUUCUAUGCGCUCAUUUACCCUAGCAGCAAAUAGUUUCGCUUCACCGUUUGCUACUAGUAAUGUAUAGCUUUCUUUAUUAUUAAGAUGUAAAAUCAAUUUUUUCGUCAUGGAAAGGAUACUCACUUUUUGUUCUAAACUGUCUAUCAUUUCAUAAGCGAAUUUCUUCAGUAAAUAGACAUCUUCAUUUUCUAAGUAAAAAAUCAGUGCAUUCUCAUUCGAAAUCCAAAGCCCUGUUAAAUCCAUCCAUUCGUCUUCCAUUUCAUAAGCAAAUGAACCAUAAAUCAGACUAGUAUCCAUCCCGAGAAGCUCACGGACACCUGCUUUUGCAAUCAUCGUUUCAUACAAAAUUUUUCGCCCCUCUACAUACGCAUUUUUCGUAUUCUAACUAUACCACUUACUUCGGAUAGACUGCAAUGGAGCCAUCUUUUAUCCGAAUUAAUUCGACCGGCUUUUGAUAAAAAUCUUGAAGGACUUCCUCUGUUAAAAGUUUUUCUGUUUUUCCGUGAUGAGUUAUUUCCCCGUCACGCAGUAAAAUGAUAUUAUCGAAGCAGGGAAGAAUUUCUUCCGUAUGAUGCGUAACAAAGAGCAUCGUUGGUGAUUCAGGAAGUUCUGCAAUUUUCUUAAUUCUUUCUAACAAACGAUUCUUUGCAAAUAAAUCAAGCCCGUUACAAGGCUCAUCUAAAAUAAGUAACUUAGGACUGGCCAUUAAAGCACGUGCAAUUAAAACAAUUUGACGCUCACCUUGCGAUAAAAUUUUAUACGGUUUUCCAAUAAGUGUGAUACCGCCACAAUCAGUAAGCAGCUUUUUCGCUUGGUCAAUCUCCGCAGUAGUGACUUUUUCAUAAAUACCAAUACUUGCAAAUUUUCCACUAAGUACAAUUUGCUCGCUUAACUCAUACUCUUUCAGCUGAUGGUCAAGCGCAUUACUAACCCAACCAAUCGAUUUACGUAACUCCGGCAAAGAAGUCUUCCCAAAAAUAUGCCCAAGUACUUGAAGAUUUCCACUGCUAGGCCAAAGAUACCCAUUUAAAAGUUGCAACAAAGUUGUUUUUCCAGAACCGUUAAGUCCUAGUAUUGCCCAGUUUUCUUUAUCAUUAACCACCCAAUUAAUAUCCGACAAAAUCAUUUUAUUAUCGCGCUUUAAAUAAACGUUCUUAAAAGCAAACAUCGAAUACCUCAUUUCCAUUUUCUACUAUUGUACAUGAAAAUAACGUAAAAAAGGAGCAAAUACUAAUGAAGCAAGAAGAAAUAAUAAUUGCCGCGCAAAAAUGGAUGCAGUCCCAUUUUGAAAAGGAAACUACUGGACACGACUGGGAACAUAUUAAACGAGUCUGGCAUUUAAGUAAACAAAUCCAAGUAACAGAAGGUGGGGACAAAUUUGCAAUCGAAUUAGCAGCAUUGUUUCACGAUUAUAAUGAUAGCAAACUAACAGAAGACCCAUUACAAGCAACUGAAAUAAUCACAACUUGGCUGAGAGAAAAAGAAAUACCUGAAGAUGUAAUCAGUAAAAUCAUCCGAAUUAUCCAAGCAGUUUCUUUUAAAAAUGGAAAAAAUCCUAUCCAAGCUUCUACAAUAGAAGAAAAAAUAGUUCAAGAUGCAGACCGUUUGGAUGCAAUUGGUGCAAUCGGUAUAGCUCGAACAUUUACUUAUGGAGGAGCACACAAUAGAGAAAUCGCUAAUCGAGAUCACCCAGAAAAUACCACUUUACAACACUUUUACGAUAAAUUACUCUUAAUUCAAACGCAACUAAAAACAAAGACUGGUCGGGAACUUGCAGGAGAAAAACAAAAAAUUAUGCAGGAUUUUAUACAUGCACUAGAGAAAGAAUUAAAAAUAUAACUUAAAAGGCUUGUAUUUAGUAUAAAGCUGUUAUAUAAUGAUAAAGCUGAAUUGAUACAAAUUGAUUCAUCAAAAAACAUUUUAAAAAUAGUUGUUGACGUGAUUUAAACUUUAUGGUAAGAUUUAAAAGUUGCGUUAACAAAGCAACUGACCUUUGAAAACUGAACAAAGAAGAAGACGAAAAGCAAUGAGACGUAAAGUCUCACUGGUAAUCGCAGGGCAGAAAACAGAAAGCUGUUUUCAA
rnacentral:rRNA from 1 species